GUGGGGAAUAUUGGACAAUGGGCGAAAGCCUGAUCCAGCCAUGCCGCGUGAGUGAUGAAGGCCCUAGGGUUGUAAAGCUCUUUCACCGGGGAAGAUAAUGACGGUACCCGGAGAAGAAGCCCCGGCUAACUUCGUGCCAGCAGCCGCGGUAAUACGAAGGGGGCUAGCGUUGUUCGGAAUUACUGGGCGUAAAGCGCACGUAGGCGGAUCGGUCAGUUAGGGGUGAAAUCCCAGGGCUCAACCCUGGAACUGCCUUUAAUACUGCCGGUCUAGAGUUCGAGAGAGGUGAGUGGAAUUCCGAGUGUAGAGGUGAAAUUCGUAGAUAUUCGGAAGAACACCAGUGGCGAAGGCGACUCACUGGCCCGUUACUGACGCUGAGGCGCGAAAGCGUGGGGAGCAAACAGGAUUAGAAACCCCAGUAGUCC
rnacentral:rRNA from 1 species